UAACACGUGGGGAACCUGCCCCAUAGUCUGGGAUACCACUUGGAAACAGGUGCUAAUACCGGAUAAGAAAGCAGAUCGCAUGAUCAGCUUUUAAAAGGCGGCGUAAGCUGUCGCUAUGGGAUGGCCCCGCGGUGCAUUAGUUAGUUGGUAAGGUAAAGGCUUACCAAGGCGAUGAUGCAUAGCCGAGUUUAGAGACUGAUCGGCCACAUUGGGACUGAGACACGGCCCAAACUCCUACGGGAGGCAGCAGAG
rnacentral:rRNA from 1 species